GGUAAACGGAUGCGGAACCAAAAAGUUCAUCAGAUGUGACUUUGAGGCCAUUCAGAAGAUCUGAGGAUGUUGUGGAGGCGUGUGGAGUUCAUAGAUUACUUAAUUAGAAAUGGUGUAAAACUUUGACUGCAAGUGCAGGGAUGGAUUGACCAAUGAUUUGAAGAAUAGAAGUGAAAAAUCAAUGCAGUGAUGCAUAUAACAAUUGAUAUGAAGUGGAAACUUCAGUGGUGGAUAGAAAAUAUUGAAACAUAGGUACGUGUUAUUCGUAGAGAAAAUCCCAAGCUUAUAAUGCCAUGGCUAUGACUGCAGUUGGUUUGUUUUCUGCCAAUUUGUUGUGUACAGACUGUGUUUUUGUUUUACUGUAUGAAUGUACCACAUGAACUUUACAUCAGGCACUAAGAUUGGUGGAGAACUUGAUAAAACAG